CGCGAACUGACCAGGACUUUCACAGGACGAUGAUGUGUUACAACAACAAUUUAGGACGCUAAAAGAGUUUUUAUAUGUUUCGGAGUGGAUUCGUCAUUCAGAUGACGUGUGGUAUAUCUAGAAAAUAAUGCAAAAAAAAGUUUCAUUAAAGAAGAAAUCCUUACCGCAAA